rnacentral:rRNA from 1 species
GACGAACGCUGGCGGCGUGCUUAACACAUGCAAGUCGAACGGAAAGGCCCUGCUUUUGUGGGGUGCUCGAGUGGCGAACGGGUGAGUAACACGUGAGUAACCUGCCCUUGACUUUGGGAUAACUUCAGGAAACUGGGGCUAAUACCGGAUAGGAGCUCCUGUUGCAUGGUGGGGGUUGGUAAGUUUCGGCGGUUGGGGAUGGACUCGCGGCUUAUCAGCUUGUUGGUGGGGUAGUGGCUUACCAAGGCUUUGACGGGUAGCCGGCCUGAGAGGGUGACCGGCCACAUUGGGACUGAGAUACGGCCCAGACUCCUACGGGAGGCAGCAGUGGGGAAUAUUGCACAAUGGGCGGAAGCCUGAUGCAGCAACGCCGCGUGCGGGAUGACGGCCUUCGGGUUGUAAACCGCUUUCGCCUGUGACGAAGCGUGAGUGACGGUAAUGGGUAAAGAAGCACCGGCUAACUACGUG